ACGGGAGGCAGCAGUGGGGAAUAUUGGACAAUGGGCGCAAGCCUGAUCCAGCGACGCCGCGUGAGCGAUGAAGUAUUUCGGUAUGUAAAGCUCUAUCAGCAGGGAAGAAAAUGACGGUACCUGACUAAGAAGCUCCGGCUAAAUACGUGCCAGCAGCCGCGGUAAUACGUAUGGAGCAAGCGUUAUCCGGAUUUACUGGGUGUAAAGGGAGCGUAGACGGCAGUGCAAGUCAGAAGUGAAAGCCCGGGGCUUAACUCCGGGACUGCUUUUGAAACUGUGCAGCUAGAGUGCAGGAGAGGUAAGCGGAAUUCCUAGUGUAGCGGUGAAAUGCGUAGAUAUUAGGAGGAACACCAGUGGCGAAGGCGGCUUACUGGACUGUAACUGACGUUGAGGCUCGAAAGCGUGGGGAGCAAACAGGAUUAGAUACCCUGGUA
rnacentral:rRNA from 1 species